rnacentral:lncRNA from 1 species
UCUCCCCAAUCCUUCCCUCUCCAGGCUCCCUCUGGGUGGUGGCGGGGAAGCUAUCCCACCAAACCUUCCUGGUUUAAACUUUUCCUCCCUCCACCCUCUACCCCACCCCUAACUUUUUCUCCCAGUCUGGCUUCUUGCCUCUGGAACCAAAGUCGGAUUAUGGAUUUGGGGUGCAGGGGGAGGGAGAUAGCCCCCUCUCUUGUCCCUCUGAGAGGUCAGUGCAGGCAGCUUCUGGCCUCCAGGGACAGUGUCUCCAGUCACUGGGUCUCAGGGCUGGCAAGUGUGAGGCAUGGCCAAGCCUGGGGCUGCAGGUUUUGGAGCUGGGAGCCAUGAGGGUGUAGCUUUGGUGGUCAAAGUGCAAAAGGCACCCUCGGAAAUGAGUGGGGCUUUGGAUGUGUUUUCUAAAAGGAUUCAC